rnacentral:lncRNA from 1 species
AGGAAGCAGCCCGUAGCAGCUGUCUAACUCCCAGGUACCUAUUUACUGCUAGGUGAACAGGUUCAUUAGGGGGAAAGAAACUCUGCCCAUUUGUUUUCGCCUCUACUGGGGAUCGAACCCGGACUCUUAGGACUAAUAUUUCAAACACAUUUAUAUCUCCCAAUAAUUCAUUUAUGUCUUACAAAAUUCCAGGCUGUUUUUCAACAUUUAACACUUGUUUCUAUAUAUUUUCCAGCGCUGAAUAUACUUAUUAAAUAUAUAUUUCGUUGCUGUUUACACUGUUCUGGGUAUGAUGCUUUCCUGCUAAGACAAUUUUUUUAUAUUUUAUUAACAAGCUUAGGUAUAGACAGCAAUGUGCUGCUACCCUAUUCUAUAUGAAAGAUUACACAGUGUAGAUAAAAAACUAUCUACAAGUUCAUCUAAUAUUCCCAUCUCACAGGAUGGUUAGUCAUACAAUGCUCUGCAUAUGUGCAGAACUGACUGUUGUACUGCGGGGGAUUCCAAAUGUGAAAGUUCCAGACUGUUCCAGACUUGUAUUAAACUUCAUGCCUGUAUAUGCCAGAGGUGAGAACUUCAUGCCUGUAUAUGGCACAGGUGAGAACUUCAUGCCUGUAUAUGGCACAGGUGAGAACUUCAUGCCUGUAUAUGGCACAGGUGAGAACUUCAUGCCUGUAGGAUAUUUUCCGUCUCUGUAUAUAUACAUAGUCUUUUUGCCUCUCAUUACGUUCAUACUCACAAGGACUUAAGGUCCUUGUGUGGCCAGAAUCUUGACUCUUGUGACAACCGGCAACUACAAAAUUUAGUGACUGCACAAACUAGUAACAAACACAUUUCUCAUGCAUAGGGUUAUGAACUUAUAAAUGGAGUGCAUUUGAUCUUAAAUACAAAAAAUUGCUAAAUUUAUUAAUUAAUUAUAUGCUGUUACAUGUAAAGCACUAAUUUAGGGGGGUUUAAUUCAUAUAAUCUUCUAUUUUUGCUUACUUCCUGUAGUGUAAAUGUAGUUAAACAUAAAAUUGAACAUUCGUGCAUGAUGUAUUUGAAUGACUUUCUCCCAUCCCUUCUCUAUGCAUAGCGAUGGAGAGCUUUAACUUAAGUAUAAAUAUAUUAGAAACGAAGAGAACUUAAUCAUUACAUGAUCAUUCAUUAUCAAGUUAUACAGUAUUGUAUAACUUUAUUGCAUGGAGCCUCUGCAACUACUGAAUUGUAAAUAUAUACUUAAUGGUACAAUUGUUCUUGUAUGCACACAUUUACUACCCAUUUUAAUAAUGGGUAUUAUCUGGCAUAAUGUUACUGUGCCAGAUAAUACUAGUUGUAGUUACUGUGCCAGAUAAUACUAGUUGUAGUUCCUGUGCCAGAUAAUACUAGUUGUAGUUACUGUGCCAGAUAAUACUAGGGGGUAGUUGCUAUGCUAGAUAGUAACUACCAUAGAUACCAUAGGUAUAGUUGCUAUGCCAGAUAUUACUAGGUUUAGUUACUAUGCAAGAUAUUACUAGGGGGUACUGUAGUUGCCAUGUCAGAUGUUACUAGGGGUGGUUGCCAUGCAAGAUGUUACUAGGGGUAGUUGCCUUGCCCGAUAUUACUAGGUUUAGUUGCCAUGCAAGAUAUUACUAGGGGGUAGUUGCCAUGCCAGAUGUUACUAGGGGUAGUUGCCAUGCAGGAUGUUACUAGGGGUAGUUGCCAUGCCAGGUGUUACUAGGGGUAGUUGCCAUGCCAGGUGUUACUAGUGGUAGUUGCCAUGUCAGUUGUUACUAGGGGUAGUUGCCAUGUCAGAUGUUACUAGGGGUAGUUGCCAUGUCAGUUGUUACUAGGGGUAGUUGCCAUGUCAGUUGUUACUAGGGAUAGUUGCCAUGUCAGAUGUUACUAAGGGUAGUUGCCAUGUCAGAUGUUACUAGGGGUAGUUGCCAUGCCAGGUGUUACUAGGGAUAGUUGCUAUGCCAGGUGUUACUAGGGAUAGUUGCCAUGCCAGGUGUUACUAGGGAUAGUUGCUAUGCCAGGUGUUACUAGGGAUAGUUGCCAUGGCAGGUGUUACUAGGGGUAGUUGCUAUGCCAGGUGUUACUAGGGUUAGUUGCCAUGCCAGGUGUUACUAGGGAUAGUUGCAUGUCAGAUGUUACUAGGGAUAGUUGCAUGUCAGAUGUUACUAGGGGUAGUUGCCAUGUCACUUGUUACUAGGGGUAGUUGCCAUGCCAGGUGUUACUAGGGGUAGUUGCCAUGCCAGGUGUUACUAGGGGUAGUUGCCAUGCCAGGUGUUACUAUAGGUAGUUGCAUGUCAGAUGUUACUAGGGGUAGUUGCCAUGCCAGGUGUUACUAUAGGUAGUGAUCUUUCGUCUUUCAAUCCUGUAAUAUUUUUACAUAUAUAUACUGUACCAUAGUUUGUAAGCAUGUUUUCCAAAUAUGUAAAUAUAUAAUGUUUGUAUUCAUUGUCAUAUUACUGAUAAUUGAUUACUUUUUUUGUACAUAUCUUUAUAUUAAUGGUAUACAGUACUUACAAAACUGGCAAACAAAUUUAUUUUCUAAAGUUGACCCUUCUUGAGAUCAAUUCCUGGCUAAACUUUCUGAUAUAAAGGUGUGCUAUUUAUGAUUUAGCACAUUCAGUAAGUUCUGUAAUAUUUUGAGGGAAAGAUUUUCACCUUUUAAUAAAAUACAGGUCUAAAUAAUAACACGUCAUAAAAUAAAUACUGUACAUACAUAAUGGUAUGUACUGUUCAUUAAUUUCUUUCCUACCAUUCUUCUUCUACUAAGAAGUGUUCUCAUCUCCCUCUUCCUCUAUGCCUUAUGCAUCUGUGACCCCCUCGGUUUUUUAUUCUGAAAUUUCACUUUACAAGUCAUUCUCUUGCCAUGGCCAUCCCCUAAAUUUUAUAAACUGCCCCUAAUCUCAAGCUAAAAUAAUUCUUUCAUGUUAAACCUUCUUCCAAUACUAGAACUCCUGUACCUUCCCUUCAUAUUUGAACUUAAAAAUAUCUUGGAUACCCUUUGUCUUCUUGAUAUAAAACUUGCCGUCAACAAAUUAACAUACUUUUUGGUAAUCUGGUUCACACCUCUACUGGUAUCCAUGAACUUUUUUGCUCCUCUUGGCCUCUCCAAUACUUUAGUGGAACUGGUCAUAUGCUUAACAACAGCCUUAAAAAAACACAAAAGACAUUUUAAACUUAAUGACACAAGCAUUGUUCCCUUCUAUUAUGUUGGGAACUAAUUUUUCUAUAGUUUAGUCUUCCAAAAUAAAUUUUCCCACUUAUACUUUCCAGAAAGGCUGUUUUGUUGAACUAACUCUCAAACAACAUGUCCAACUUGAACCUUAGGACAGGCUUUGUUCCUGUUGACUCUUGCCUUUCUCAAUACAUAUUUAAAUGUUCUAAUCAAUUUAAAAAGCAUGAUCUGACUUUAGAUGUUUAUUCCUCUGUGCUUUUCUGUCCCCCUAUCUGUGUUUAUAAUUUAGCUCUUUUAUUUCUCCUUAUUUGUUUCUUCUACAAUUCUCUACCUACCUUAAUUUGUCUUUUCAUCUCGUAGGGAGGCGCUUUGAGCAUGAUUUCUUGCUUUACUUUUUCCACUUUGCCUCUUCUCUUGACUUAAAAUAACUUCUGCCUUUUUAUUUCCUAGUUUAGACUUGAUGAGAUUCCAGGUUGGACUGAAAUGUCGUCACUUUUCUUUCAAUUCAUGUGUAGGUUGGGUUAUUUAUUUUCAGUUACAUUAAUGUCACUUUUUUUCCCAUUUUAAUUAAUAUUUAUUGUUCAGGUAAAUUUUGCUAACAAUUUAAGUGUCCUUUUAAAUAUAGCAGGAUUCCUUUAAUUUGAUGAAGAAGGGUCUUAGUAUAUGUUAGCAUAUAUAAAUUUGUGAAGUCACAAGUUCUGUAUACAGUAUAUGAUUAAAAACAUUGGUGCAAUAUUACCCCUGUUGAGGACAGUGCAGUGUAUUUAUUUAAUGCAUACUCUAAUGUAACUAAUGUAAAUGGAGUUACUUAAAUUGUUAUUUUCAUUUAUUAUUUAAUAGUACUGUAGCAUUUGUUGAAAAUUCUAUGUAGCCCAAUAUUUUAAAAUAUACUUGAGUUAGGAGUGUUAUUGUUUAGAAUUUCAUUGAAUUUUCAUUAAGGAUAUGACCAGCAAGACAUUUUUACAGUACUAUACUGAAUUUUUAUACUUAUAAACUUAUUUAAUAUUAAUUUCAUGUUUAAAAUACCGUAAGAAAGCUUAAGUAAUUAGAAGCAUUUAGUUUUGGCUGACCCAACAGCAGGUCAUUCCUCGAGGCUUGCCUGCCAGACCAGAGAACAAACGCACUCGUCCAGCGCCCUCCACCGUCUCACUCUUGCCACAUUGUACGGGUCUUCGUGAAAUGGAGGAUCAAAGGUCCUCAUUUUUAUUUAAAAACAGUUUGGAGAAGCGCCUGAAGGUUAUGUAGUUUUUAAUAUGAUAAGAGUAAACUGUGUACAAUAUGUACUCAGAUUUCUUGGAUGACUCAGAUGCUUUAAUUUGAAAUAUAUUACACAAUACUGUAAUUAGUUGACCAAUUUAUGCAAUACAUUGCCAAAUGUUAGCCUGUAGUUAACAUGAUGCAAUAUAAUAGUGCAUAGUCAGUCUAGAUGUUAAAAACCUGCUUCAUGCACUUUUAUUGAAAAUAUUGCACAAUUUAGUGAUACUUGGCAUUUACAAAUUUUUCAAAUUGAUAAAUUUAUUUAUCAAAAUUUAUCAAAUUUAUUAAGAGAAUUAAUUUUCCAGGCAUGUUGCAUGAUUUGCUGCUUUGGUUAUCUGUUCAGUAUCUUGGUGGCAGGUAUACAAUACCAUACACAUUUUUGCUAGAAAAUAUGGUAUUGUGUGUGUGCUUCCCACAGAAAAAAUACAAAGAUUGUAGACUUAGUGUCAAGGCCCAUGAAAUAAAUAUUUCCUCCAGCUUACCCUUUCUUGUACAGGGAUUCGUGUAUGUACAAAUUUACCAAAAAGAUUUAUUUACUAGAUAGAACAUCUGAUCAAUGCCCUAAAGUGAGGUAUAAGAGCUGCAUGAAUUUAGGUCUUGACAACAGAAUAUCUUGAAACAAUUAAUAAAUUUUAAGUGAUAAUUUAGCUCAGUCUUGUUAAAUGUAAUUAUUAUAAUUUGGACCUUAUAAUUUUUUGUGAGCUCAGAUUUUUAAAAGUACUGAUGUAUAUAAAUUUAGAUUUUUUAAUUUUUGAAAUAAGCUAUUUUUUGCAAAAUAACAGUUCAUAAGAAUUGUGAUUAUUAUUUUACUGCAUAUUUAUUUACAUGCUAGAACUCUGUAAUUAAUUAUCUUGCCAAAUAUUAUAUUAAAGACUGCAAAUAAUGUUGAAUCGGUUAUAACUCUGUAAUUAAUUAUCUUGCCAAAUAUUAUAUUAAAGACUGCAAAUAAUAUUGAAUCGGUGUGAUGUUCUAAUGUCACACAUACUAUAGCCUACUUCUUUUAAAAACCCAAUGCUAGGGUCGUGUGCCAAAGACCGGAUGGAGACAUUCUUGUAGAGCUUUGUUUUAUACUUCCAGCUGUUUAAACAUGUAUAUAGAGCCUUUUCUGUUGUGAAUGCUUGGAGGUGUAGAUAUUCUCUGCACAAUGCUUCUGAGAUUGUUAGGGUAAUGAGGAGAAAGUGUUCUCUAUCUCCCCAGGACUGUAUCUGAAUGGUUAACAAAUAGAACUAUCAUUAAACAGU